UGGCCUCAGAUCAGGGAG
rnacentral:rRNA from 2 species